AUUGAACGCUGGCGGCAGGCUUAACACAUGCCAGUCGAACGAGUGGCGGAAGGGUGAGUAAUGCUUGGGAAUCUGGCUUAUGGAGGGGGAUAACGACGGGCAACUGUCGCUAAAACCGCGUACCAUAGGCUGAACACAAGUGGGAUUAGGUAGUUGGUGGGGUACUGGCCUACCAAGCUGACGAUCUCUAUCUGGUCUGAGAAGACGACCAGCUACACCUGGACUUAGAGACGGCCCGGCCUUCUACGUGAUGCAGCAAGGUGGAAUAUUGCGCAAUGGGGGCAACCCUGACUCAGUCAUGCCGCGUGAAUGAAGAAGGCCUUCGGGGUGUAAAGUUCUUUCGGUAUUGAGGCGUUAAAUACAGAAGAAGCACCGGCUAACUCCGUGUCAGCAGCCGCGGUAAUA
rnacentral:rRNA from 1 species